rnacentral:rRNA from 1 species
GCUCAGAUUGAACGCGGCGGCAGGCCUAACACAUGCAAGUCGAGCGGAUGAAGGGAGCUUGCUCCUGGAUUCAGCGGCGGACGGGUGAGUAAUGCCUAGAAUCUGCCUGGUAGUGGGGAUAACGUCCGGAAACGGGCGCUAAUACCGCAUACGUCCUGAGGGAGAAAGUGGGGAUCUUCGGACCUCACGCUAUCAGAUGAGCCUAGGUCGGAUUAGCUAGUUGGUGGGGUAGGCCUACCAAGGCGACGAUCCGUAACUGGUCUGAGAGGAUGAUCAGUCACACUGGAACUGAGACACGGUCCAGACUCCUACGGAGGCAGCAGUGGGGAAUAUUGGACAAUGGGCGAAAAGCCUGAUCCAGCCAUGCCGCGUGUGAAGAAGGUCUUCGGAUUGUAAGCACUUUAAGUUGGGAGGAAGGCAGUAAGUUAAUACCUUGCUGUUUUGACGUUACCAACAGAAUAAGCACCGGCUAACCGUGCCAGCAGCCGCGGUAAUACGAAGGUGCAAGCGUUAAUCGGAAUUACUGGGCGUAAAGCGCGUAGGUGGUUCAGCAGUUGGAUGAAACCCUCACGCAACCUGGGAACUGCAUCCAACCAUGUGAGCCAUGCGUAGAUAAGGAAGAACACCAGUGACCAACUGAUCUGCAGCGGAAAAUGCGUAGAUAGUCCACGCCGUAAACGAUGUCGAUAGCCGUUGGGAUCCUUGAGAUCUUAGUGGCGCAGCUAACGCGAUAAGUCGACCGCCUGGGGGUACGGCCGCAAGGUUAAAACUCAAAUGAAUUGACGGGGGCCCGCACAAGCGGUGGAGCAUGUGGUUUAAUUCGAAGCAACGCGAAGAACCUUACCUGGCCUUGACAUGCUAGAACUUUCCAGAGAUGGAUUGGUGCCUUCGGGAACAGACACAGGUGCUGCAUGGCUGUCGUCAGCUCGUGUCGUGAGAUGUUGGGUUAAGUCCGUAACGAGCGCAACCCUUGUCCUAGGUUACCAGCACCUCGGUGGGCACUCUAAGGAGACUGCCGGUGACAAACCGGAGGAAGGUGGGGAUGACGCUGUCAUCAUGGCCCUUACGGCCAGGGCUACACGUGCUACAAUGGUCGCAAGGGUUGCCAAGCCGCGAGGUGGAGCUAAUCCCAUAAAACCGAUCGUAGUCCGGAUCAGUCUGCAACUGACGCGCGAAGUCGGAAUCGCUAGUAAUCGUGAAUCAGAAUGUCACGGUGAAUACGUUCCCGGGCCUUGUACACACCGCCCGUCACACCAUGGGAGUGGGUUGCUCCAGAAGUAGCUAGUCUAACCGCAAGGGGGACGGUUACCACGAGUGAUUCAUGACUGGGUGAAGUCGUAACAAGAGUAGCCGUAGGGGAACCUGCGGGCUG